rnacentral:lncRNA from 1 species
UUUUUUUCUUUUUUUUUUUUUUUCUGAUUUCUUGGGCCACUCCCACGGCAUACGGAGGUUCCCAGGCUAGGGGUCGAAUGGGAGCUGUAGCCACCGGCCUACACCACAGCCACAACGACGAGGGAUCUGAGUCACGUCUGCAACCUACACCACAGCCUCACGGCCACGCCAGAUCCUUGACCCACUGAGCAAGGCCAGGGAUUGAGCCCGCAACCUCAUGGUUCCUAGUUGGAUUCAUGAACCACUGAGCCACGACGGGAACUCCUCUAAGAUUAUUUUUAUGGGUUCCUUAUUUCAAGUCAACCACUGGUUUUUCUUGGAAAGUCUUAAACAUCCCUCAACUGCAUUGAAUCCACAUUAACCACCUGAUGUUCACAUAAAAUUUUAGAGUUGGAAAGAACUUAGAAUUAUUCAGUCCAACUAACUCUUUUAUUUUAUUUAUUUAUUUUUUAAAGGGCCGCACCUGUAGCAUACAGACGUUCCCAAGGCUAGAGGUCAAAUGGGAGCUGCAGCUGCUGGGCUAUCCCACAGCCACAGCAAUGCCCACUCCGAGCCACACAGGUGACCCACAUCGCAGCUUGUGGCAGUGCCAGAUCCUUAACCUACUGAGCGAGGCCAGGGAUCAAACCUGCAUCCUCAUAGACACUAGGUUGAUUUCUUAAUCUGCUGAGCCACUAGAGAAACUCCUAACUCGCUCUUUUUGUUUGUUUGUUUGUUUUUGUCUUUUUAGGGCCACACCCUUGGCAUAUGGAAGUUCCCAGGCUAGGGGUCCAAUCAGAGCUGUAGUUAUCGGCCUACACCACAGUCACAGCAACACUGUAUCCUUAACCCACUGAGCAAGGCCAGGGAUCGAACCUGUGUCCUCAUGAUUACUAGUCAGACUCAUUUCCGCUGAGCCUCGAUAGGAACUCGACAGGAACUCCUAACUCGCUCUUUUAAAGAUGAGGAAACUGAGACACAGAAAAACUAUGUCAGUGCUCAAUAAAAAAAUUUCUUUUGGGAGUGGGAGGGAGUGGGAGGGAUCGGGAGCUUGGGCUUAUCAGACACAACUUAGAAUAGAUUUACAAGGAGAUCCUGCUGAGCAGCAUUGAGAACUUUGUCUAGAUACUCAUGUUGCAACAGAACAAAGGGUGGGGAAAAAAAUGUAAUUGUAAUGUAUACAUGUAAGGAUAACUUGAUCCCCUUGCUGUACAGUGGGAAAAUAAAAAAAAGAGAGAGAGAAAAAAAUUAUACUAUUGUUAAAUCCUUUUAAAAAAGAAAAUAAAAUCCCAGCCUAGCCAAAAGGAAAAAAAAAAAAUUUUCUUUCAUGGAGUUCCCUUUGUGGAUCAGUGGGUUAAGAACCUGACGUUGUGUCUGUGAAGAUGCGGAUGAGAUCCCUGGCCGUGCUCAGUGGGUUCAGGAUCUGGUGUUGCUGAAAGCUGCAGUGUAGCUCACAACAAUGCUGGGUCCUUAACCCACUCAGCAAGGCCAGGGAUCGAACCUGCGUCCUCAUGGAUGCUAGGUCAGAUUCAUUUCUGCUAAGCCACGACAGGAACUCCUGAAAAAGUUCUUGAUUGACUGAUAGCCAAUAAAAUCCCAAGGCGGCAAAAUUCCAACCCAAGUAGGAACAUUCCCCUAAUGCAUUUCCCAGCAGACUUUCAAGUUGGGCAGAGUGUUCAUUGGCUGCCACUCAUGAUUGCAUCAUUUUGCUGUGCUCUUUAAAAGCGCCACAGGACACCACGCCCACCUAAGUUUCUGGGGAUUUUUCUGGCAGGAAGUCACCACCUCUCCUAUAUUAUGUGGUCUAUGUGACAAGCCAAGACCCUCCUUGCCUUAACACUGUAGGGAGUUCCUAUCAUGGCUCAGUGGAAAUGAAUCUGAUCAGUACCCAUGAGGACAUGGGUUCAAUCCCUGGCAUUGCUCAGUGGGUU